rnacentral:rRNA from 1 species
UGAGGAAUAUUGGUCAAUGGGCGGGAGCCUGAACCAGCCAAGUCGCGUGAGGGAAGAAGGCCCUAUGGGUCGUAAACCUCUUUUGUCAGGGAACAAAAGCGAGUAUGUAUACUAGUCUGAGUGGACCUGAAGAAAAAGCAUCGGCUAACUCCGUGCCAGCAGCCGCGGUAAUACGGAGGAUGCGAGCGUUAUCCGGAUUUAUUGGGUUUAAAGGGUGCGUAGGCGGCGAUGCAAGUCAGCGGUAAAAGCCCGGGGCUCAACCCCGGCGAGCCGUUGAAACUGCAGUGCUAGAGAAGGCGAGAGGUACGCGGAAUGCGCAGUGUAGCGGUGAAAUGCUUAGAUAUUGCGCAGAACUCCGAUUGCGAAGGCAGCGUACUGGCGCCUGACUGACGCUGAGGCACGAAAGCGUGGGGAUCGAACAGGAUUAGAUACCC